CCUGGCGGCCUUAGCGCGGUGGUCCCACCUGACCCCAUGCCGAACUCAGAAGUGAAACGCCGUAGCGCCGAUGGUAGUGUGGGGUCUCCCCAGGCGAGAGUAGGGAACUGCCAGGC
rnacentral:rRNA from 1 species